AUUGAACGCUGGCGGCAGGCCUAACACAUGCAAGUCGAGCGGAUGAAGGGAGCUUGCUCCUGGAUUCAGCGGCGGACGGGCGAGUAAUGCCUAGGAAUCUGCCUGGUAGUGGGGGAUAACGUCCGGAAACGGGCGCUAAUACCGCAUACGCCCUGAGGGAGAAAGUGGGGGAUCUUCGGACCUCACGCUAUCAGAUGAGCCUAGGUCGGAUUAGCUAGUUGGUGGGGUAAAGGCCUACCAAGGCGACGAUCCGUAACUGGUCUGAGAGGAUGAUCAGUCACACUGGAACUGAGACACGGUCCAGACUCCUACGGGAGGCAGCAGUGGGGAAUAUUGGACAAUGGGCGAAAGCCUGAUCCAGCCAUGCCGCGUGUGUGAAGAAGGUCUUCGGAUUGUAAAGCACUUUAAGUUGGGAGGAAGGGCAGUAAGUUAAUACCUUGCUGUUUUGACGUUACCAACAGAAUAAGCACCGGCUAACUUCGUG
rnacentral:rRNA from 1 species